rnacentral:lncRNA from 1 species
CAGAAAUGUAAUUUAUAAACAAGCUUAUGCGUUUAGUAAUGACUAGUAUAUCGGACACGCAAGACAGAGAUUUAUACUAUACACCUGAUAGUUCAAAAUGGAAAGUUUCAAGUUAUCGGUCGUAUACACUGAUCAAUACCCUUAGAAGUGAAGCGAUGCAUGAACUUGCAAGUCCGACAGGAAAUCGCUUGAAUACCUGAACGGGUCACCUCACAAUACAUUUGGGAGUAAUACCUUUAGCCAUGCUGGUGAUCAGACAAGGGAAGGUACAAAUUUAUUUAAAUAAGUUUAUUACAUAAAAGAAUUAUGAACAAAUUAGAUUUUCGAAAACAAUUUUCACGGAACACUUAUUUACGCUCAUUUAUGACUUUGAACUAUGACUUUUUCACCAAUUCCCAUAUAAACAGUUAAAAACGACAGACCUUGGUUACCACGGUAUAGCUGACUUAUAUUAACCCUUAAACCAAAUUUC